GACUUUGCAUUUUUCCAAUCUCAUCAUCCAUUGUGUGUAAGACAUGACAAGUAGUAAAUCUCAAAAAGUCUUCUCAAAACCACGUUGUAAGUGAGGUCGAGUUUUAUAUGGGACAAGAAGAAAAGUGACAACGUAAGCCAUGCUUUGCAAUGCAAAUUACAAUUGAGUUCGCGUUUCUCCAUCAAAUUUUCAAAUAUUAAUUUUAAAUGAAACUAUAUAUUAUAUACUAAUUUACAUUGCUUCAAGUAGACUUUCUCCAAGCAUAGCUGCUCUCGCCAGUUGGAUUCACUGCCCAAAUAGACUGCCCUUUAAGCAAGAAACGGCUAAGCCAGGCCACCCGAAUGGAUCCAACCUGCAACAAAAUCUCCUUGAGUUCUUCAAUAGACAAGCAAGAUUUCAAGGCCCUAGUUUCCUCAAUCCUGAACCACCCUUAAACCUGGGGAGACAUGCAUCAUCCAAGCAACUUUUGAACCUCGAGCGUUUUCAGAUUCUCCCUUCCAAAAGGGUUACACUUGCUUUCCAUCAUAUUGAUAACUUUUUUGGCAACAAAAAAAUUUGACUCUAAAAAUCACCAAGCUGCUACNNNNNNNNNNNNNNNNNNNNNNNNNNNNNNNNNNNNNNNNNNNNNNNNNNNNNNNNNNNNNNNNNNNNNNNNNNNNNNNNNNNNNNNNNNNNNNNNNNNNUCACUCACGUUCCCAAAAUCAGAGGAAGGCCAAGGUACUAACUGGCAAUUGGCCCUUUUUAAAGCCACCAAGAGAUGUAUAUCAUCCACUAGCUGCCGCUUAAUACCAGCUAGAUAUAUAUAUAUCUCCGUCUUAAGGGGAUUAAUACUAAGACCUGACGUGUGCUUAAGUCUCUGAAGCAAGGCCAAUAGUUUCAUUCAAGAAUCCAUAUCCCCUUUGGAAAAUAUCAUCAAAUCGUCAGCAAGUCUCCCCUUAGAGCACUGAGAAUGGUAUUUUGAUUUGCCACGACUUGCAGAAUUAUUGAACAGUUCUGGGAAAACCUCCAUCACCAUAACAAAAAUAUGCUAUAAAGGAUCGACCUGCCUUAGUCCUUUCUCACUCUUGAAAAAGCCAUCAAGACCUCCCUCCAAUGUCAGAAGAUACAGAGGAACGCUCUGUAGCUUAGCCUAGACAACAGUUUUCACAUCAGAGACCUCCUAGCUUUGCAGUUCCAGCUUCCAUUUUCUCAGCACAAGAAGAUAGUGCGCAAUGUUCUGGAAGAGGAAAAGUUCAUAAGGAACAUUCCGUUCUCAAUCUCCUCGUCCCCACAGCAUAUUCACCGUAGCGGAAAUAAAUCCAAUACUCUUUCUUGCUAAGACCUUGCCCUAUUAGAGAAGAAUUCCAUUUUUCAGCGCUGUUACCUAUGACAGAUUUAGGAACUAAAACAUGCUUAACACCAUCGACAAUUUUAGGUACGUGGUACGUAUGUGCAACGUCCUAGAUUGCUGGUACACUCUUUUCUUUACAAGUUCGUAUUCGGAUCUUACUUUCUGCCCAAGGAUACUUUUUGGUUCUCCCUAUUUCUUCCGUUAGAACUCACUAUCACAAUCAAAUAAGCACUUUUCAUUGAUCAAGUGGGAAACUUUGCACGUCUUGCACAAUUUUCAAUGAUAAAGAUGAAUUGUUUCCAUUUCAAUUUUUCGCAGAUAAAAGCAAAACUGCACAAUUUAGAAAGAGAAAAAUUAAUCUCUUUUCUCGCCCAGAAAUAUUCUCUGGAAUAGUCUUGAAGCGGACUUAGAUCCAAGCCUACAGGAACUCGGUGGAAUGUUACGUGGAAAACAAGGUCCCACAUUGGCAAUAGAAGAACCUUGACUAUAUACCGUCAAGAUUGUGGGCUUUGUGACUAAUGGUUACCAUAUAAUAUUUCAGAUUAACAAGAGCAAAGCUGACAGGAGAAACUUUGGAUCUCGCAAACUAAGUAAUAUACUCACAAAUUUUGUAAAGCAAAGAAAAGUCUACUAAGCAUAUCAGAGCAGUAAACUGACAAAUCAAGGGAUGAUGUAUUUGGGACAAACAGAAUGCCAAACAAUUCUUGAAGAAGAGAGCAAAAGCCUUACAAUUCUUGAGGAAGAACCCCUGUAUUGAGGUACUUCCUAAGAUCAGCUUGCGUGACCCAUAGAGAGAANNN
rnacentral:lncRNA from 1 species